CUCUGUGACUCCUACGGGAGGCAGCAGUGGGGAAUAUUGCACAAUGGGCGCAAGCCUGAUGCAGCAACGCCGUGUGAGUGAAGAAGGUUUUCGGAUCGUAAAACUCUGUCCUAAGGGAAGAAACAAAUGACGGUACCUUAGGAGGAAGCCCCGGCUAACUACGUGCCAGCAGCCGCGGUAAUACGUAGGGGGCAAGCGUUAUCCGGAAUCACUGGGCGUAAAGGGUGCGUAGGCGGCUUAGCAAGCCAGGGGUGAAAGGCAUUGGCUCAACCAAUGUAAGCCUUUGGAACUGUUAAGCUUGAGUGCAGGAGAGGUAAGUGGAAUUCCUAGUGUAGAGGUGAAAUUCGUAGAUAUUAGGAGGAACACCAGUGGCGAAGGCGACUUACUGGACUGUAACUGACGCUGAUGCACGAAAGCGUGGGUAGCGAACAGGAUUAGAUACCCUGGUAG
rnacentral:rRNA from 1 species